rnacentral:lncRNA from 1 species
UUGAGCUUCUAAUCGGCACAGCUAGCAGAGGCUGAAAAACUGUACGUACCCUGUCCAGUGCAUGGCAGAGAUGGUAGAGAUCAUUGGUUUCUACUGCGCGCCGCCAUCUUCCUCCUAACCACGCAAGUACCAUUGAAUUUUAUACUAACUGGACGCGCAUCGGGCGAAUGGUGUGGGACAAAUUGAAGGCAGCCAUUUAAACUUCGACUCUUACAGGCCCAAUCAGAUUUGGUUUAUUUGAUCGCAGUCAGCUGCAGUCAGCGUUGUAUACAUAACGAUAAGUGAUUUAAGUGAUUGUUAACGUGAUUCAUAAAAUUGAAAAAUGAGGUGUUGUGAACCCGAGCGUAGGCAAAAAAGUGAAACUGAAAUCUCAUUUCAUAAAUUUCCGAAUGCAGACUAUGAUCGAGCAAAGGCAUGGUUUGAAGCGAUUUCAACAUUUUUAGUUUAAUUUAGAACAACCUAAAAUCGUUGGAGCGCCAAGCGCCAUCUUUCUCGACUAGGAAGAAUUCCCAGGACUACGUGUCAUCGCAAGGGAAAACACCUCUGCAAGACGCGAAAAAAAAUCACUUCUUCUCUAAAGUUCGAACCGAGCAGUCGAAACUUCCUAUACAGAGUAUUCUGUCCGAACGGUUAGGUCCAGUUCCUGUACCAAAGCAAGGAAAACGAACCUGCCGAUGUCUGAGUACAUCGCGGACUUUGGACCGGUGGUUCAACAAUUCAGACCCGAGUGGAUAACCGUGACUACAACGCAACCAAACAAGAUCGAACAAGUGAUUUUUUGGAUGCAGUGAAAAUAGAAAUAAAAAUGGAAAUGGAAAUGAAAAUGGGCCUCUGCUCCGUUCUGUUUCUACGUAUCGAAUGUCUCCACUUUUCACUGCUCCAGUUAGUCUCAAUUGUUAGAAACACGUAAGCUUGCACACUAAAUCUAAUUAAGUAUAUCAAUGGCUGCAGAACAUUCCUUAGAUUUGUGAAAUU